rnacentral:rRNA from 1 species
GAUGAACGCUGGCGGCGUGCCUAAUACAUGCAAGUCGAGCGAACAGACGAGGAGCUUGCUCCUCUGACGUUAGCGGCGGACGGGUGAGUAACACGUGGAUAACCUACCUAUCAGACUGGGAUCACUUCGGGACACCGGCGAUUACACCGGAGAAUAUCUUGCACCGCAUUGUUCGAUGGUGAAAGACGGUUUUGGUGGCUCGUCUAGCUGGUUCCGGGCCGCAUGAGCUAGUUGUUAAGGUCACAGCUUACCAAGGCGACGAUGCGUAGCCGACGUGAGAGGGGGAUAGGCGACAUUGGAACGGAGACACGGACAAGGCUCCUACGGGAGGCAGCAGUAGGGAAUCUUCCGCAGUGGGCGAAAGCCUGACGGAGCAACCCCGCGUGAGUGAUGAAGGCCUUCGGAUCGGAAAACCCGGUUAUGAGGGAAGAACAAAUGUGGAAGGAACUAUGCACGGCUUGACGGUACCUAAUCAGAAAGCCCCGGCUAACUACGUG